rnacentral:tRNA from 1 species
UAGCUCAGUGGUAGAGCACAUGCUUGGCAUGCAUGAGGUCCUGGGUACAAUCUCCAG